rnacentral:rRNA from 1 species
GACAGUAUCGGCCUCAGGAAGUGUGGGCUGCCCUCAAAUUUGUGAUGCCUGUGUGACCAUCUCCAGUAUUAGAGCCCCAGGCAUGUGCCAUCACACUCAGCGUCUUCAUUUUCUUUGAUGAUGCCCUAAACCAGCUAACUAGCUGCCUGGGAGGUAUAGGAAGUCAUUUUAAAUUUAGGGAAUGAAACGAAUGCCCAGAUCCUGGUAUAUGAUAUUAAGUCAGUUAUCAUGAUUCAGGCAUGGGAUCCUUAGCUAAUCAAUCACACCUUCUGGCUUCCAGAUUGCUGUAGUUAGACUUCGCUUUAUCUUAAACCACAUGAUAUCCUCAUUGCUUGUGAUUCUGCGGUGAGUGGGUCUCUCUCUCUAUGUAAGCGUUUCACGGUUGCAC